UCAUGGUGGCUCGUGGUGACCUG
rnacentral:piRNA from 1 species